rnacentral:misc_RNA from 1 species
UUUCCGUAGGUGAACCUGCGGAAGGAUCAUUAUCGUACAAAAUGUGAGGGGCAUGCGAGGGCUGUCGCUGACCCAAGAGUCGUGCACGCCCGAGUGUGUCCUCUUGCAUAAUAAUCCAUCUCACCCUUUGUGCAUCACCGCGUGGGCGCCCUUCGGGAUCAUCUCGGAGGGGGGCUCGCGUUUUCACACAAACCCCCCUUUUAAAAGUGUAGAAUGACCACAUUUAUGCAAUCAAUACAACUUUCAACAACGGAUCUCUUGGCUCUC